AACGAACGCUGGCGGCAUGCCUAACACAUGCAAGUCGAACGAGACCUUCGGGUCUAGUGGCGCACGGGUGCGUAACGCGUGGGAAUCUGCCCUUGGGUUCGGAAUAACAGUUGGAAACGACUGCUAAUACCGGAUGAUGACGUAAGUCCAAAGAUUUAUCGCCCAAGGAUGAGCCCGCGUAGGAUUAGCUAGUUGGUGAGGUAAAGGCUCACCAAGGCGACGAUCCUUAGCUGGUCUGAGAGGAUGAUCAGCCACACUGGGACUGAGACACGGCCCAGACUCCUACGGGAGGCAGCAGUGGGGAAUAUUGGACAAUGGGCGAAAGCCUAAUCCAGCAAUGCCGCGUGAGUGAUGAAGGCCUUAGGGUUGUAAAGCUCUUUUACCCGGGAUGAUAAUGACAGUACCGGGAGAAUAAGCUCCGGCUAACUCCGUG
rnacentral:rRNA from 1 species